GCUAUUCUGCUUUGUAGAGCCGAGCUAGGUCGUUAUCAGUCGACGGGUACCGGUUCAGCGUACUGUCGUUUGUGGAUCUCACAUUUCUUGCUAGAAAUUGAACGUGUGUGGAUAGAAGCCGGACUGUAAAAGAUAACGGAUGAUGAACAGACAACAUGUCCAUGUGGUGCCAGCUAAACAGACAACGGCAGACAAGGUUGCCGCAGCAGUGAAGGCGAGAGAACUCAAGGGUGUUGACGAUGCUUUCUAUGUUAUGGAUGUCGGUGACGUCGCCAGCAACUACCAACGUUGGCAGAGAUUAUUACCACGGGUGGAACCUUUCUAUGCUGUCAAGUGCAACUCUGACCCAUUACUGCUACGUGUUCUGUGAACUGGGGACAGGAUUCGACUUAUCAGCAAGCAAGUGUGAGAUGGACAUGGUAAUACAAAUGGGCGCCUCGCAGACAAGAUUGUGUAUGCCAACCCAUGCAGGCAGAUUCGAUCCCAUCUUGAGUAUGCAGCCAAGAAGUCAAUAGAUCUCCUAACUUUUGAUUGAAUGAAGCUGAACUGUACAAAGUCAAGUCAGCGUAUCCUGGUGCAAGACUCCUCCUCCGAUUGUCCCCCAGGCAACUACGACGUCAUAAAAAUGACCUGUCCGAGAAGUUUGGCUGUCACCCUGGUGAUGUGAGUGGGUUCCCUGAGAACAGCCAGGACUCUCGGUCUCAUGGUCGAGCUUCAGUUUCCACGUGGGCAGCGGAGCAAAGGACCCGGAAGCAGUUUGUGGCCUCGGCUACAGAGAUCACACAAUGUGUUUGCUAUUGCAGAGAAAUUAGGAUUCACGGCAAUAUUAUUGACAUUGGCGGAGGUUUCUAUGGUCACAAAGGAGCACCCCUAUCGUUUG
rnacentral:lncRNA from 1 species